UCGAACGCGAAAGUCCCCUUCGGGGGAUGAGUAGAGUGGCGCACGGGUGAGUAACACGUAGGUAAUUUGCCUUCGGGUGGGGAAUAACAGCCGGAAACGGCUGCUAAUACCGCAUAAUGCAGCGGCACCACAUGGUGACAGUUGUUAAAGCGGGGGAUCCUUCGGGACCUCGCGCCGGAAGAGAAGCCUGCGGCGGAUUAGCUAGUUGGUAGGGUAACGGCCUACCAAGGCUUCGAUCCGUAGCCGGCCUGAGAGGGCGGUCGGCCACACUGACACUGACAUACGGGUCAGACUCCUACGGGAGGCAGCAGUCGGGAAUUUUGGCAAUGGCCGAAAGCCUGACCCACCAACGCCGCGUGAAGGAUGAAAUCCCUCGGGAUGUAAACUUCGCAAGAACAGGAAGAAUAAGUGGGGGACAAUACCCCCCAUGAUGACGGUACUGUUUGUAAGCUCCGGCUAACUCCGUGCCAGCAGCCGCGGUAAUACGGGGGGGGCAAGCGUUGUUCGGAUUUACUGGGCGUAAAGGGCGCGUAGGCGGCUCUACAAGUCACUUGUGAAAUCUCCGGGCUUAACUCGGAAAGGUCAAGUGAUACUGUCGAGCUAGAGUGCGGAAGGGGCAACUGGAAUUCUCGGUGUAGCGGUGAAAUGCGUAGAUAUCGAGAGGAACACCUGCGGCGAAGGCGGGUUGCUGGGCCGACACUGACGCUGAG
rnacentral:rRNA from 1 species